UUCCACCAGUGAAGACACCACAACAAGCCAAGUCAUUUUAAAUUAUACAACACUAUUUAGUUCUGUACACCCAAAAGACUAGAAUAUUUGUGUGUGUGUGUGUGUGUG